rnacentral:rRNA from 1 species
AGCCGAGCGGUAUUUCUUCUUCGGGAGAGAGAGAGCGGCGUACGGGUGCGUAACACGUGUGCAACCUACCUUUAUCAGGAGGAUAGCCUUUCGAAAGGAAGAUUAAUACUCCAUAAUAUAUUAGAUGGCAUCAUUUAAUAUUGAAAACUCCGGUGGAUAGAGAUGGGCACGCGCAAGAUUAGAUAGUUGGUGAGGUAACGGCUCACCAAGUCAUUGAUCUUUAGGGGUCCUGAGAGGGAGAUCCCCCACACUGGUACUGAGACACGGACCAGACUCCUACGGGAGGCAGCAGUGAGGAAUAUUGGACAAUGGGUGAGAGCCUGAUCCAGCCAUCCCGCGUGAAGGAUGACGGUCCUACGGAUUGUAAACUUCUUUUGUAUAGGGAUAAACCCAGAUACGUGUAUCUGGCUGAAGGUACUAUACGAAUAAGCACCGGCUAACUCCGUGCCAGCAGCCGCGGUAAUACGGAGGGUGCAAGCGUUAUCCGGAUUUAUUGGGUUUAAAGGGUCCGCAGGCGGGCCGAUAAGUCAGUGGUGAAAUCUCAUAGCUUAACUAUGAAACUGCCAUUGAUACUGUCGGUCUUGAGUAAAUUAGAGGUAGCUGGAAUAAGUAGUGUAGCGGUGAAAUGCAUAGAUAUUACUUAGAACACCAAUUGCGAAGGCAGGUUACCAUGAUUUAACUGACGCUGAGGGACGAAAGCGUGGGGAGCGAACAGGAUUAGAUACCCUGGUAGUCCACGCCGUAAACGAUGCUAACUCGUUUUUGGGGCGCAAGCUUCAGAGACCAAGCGAAAGUGAUAAGUUAGCCACCUGGGGAGUACGUUCGCAAGAAUGAAACUCAAAGGAAUUGACGGGGGCCCGCACAAGCGGUGGAUUAUGUGGUUUAAUUCGAUGAUACGCGAGGAACCUUACCAAGACUUAAAUGGGAAAUGACAGGUUUAGAAAUAGAUCCUUCUUCGGACAUUUUUCAAGGUGCUGCAUGGUUGUCGUCAGCUCGUGCCGUGAGGUGUUAGGUUAAGUCCUGCAACGAGCGCAACCCCUGUCACUAGUUGCUAACAUUCAGUUGAGGACUCUAGUGAGACUGCCUACGCAAGUAGAGAGGAAGGUGGGGAUGACGUCAAAUCAUCACGGCCCUUACGUCUUGGGCCACACACGUAAUACAAUGGCCGGUACAGAGGGCAGCUACACAGCGAUGUGAUGCAAAUCUCGAAAGCCGGUCUCAGUUCGGAUUGGAGUCUGCAACUCGACUCUAUGAAGCUGGAAUCGCUAGUAAUCGCGCAUCAGCCAUGGCGCG